rnacentral:rRNA from 1 species
UACGGAGGGUGCGAGCGUUGUCCGGAAUCACUGGGCGUAAAGCGCACGUAGGCGGACUCUUAAGUCGGUGGUGAAAUCCUGGAGCUCAACUCCAGAACUGCCUUCGAUACUGAGAGUCUCGAGUCCGAGAGAGGUGAGUGGAACUGCGAGUGUAGAGGUGAAAUUCGUAGAUAUUCGCAAGAACACCAGUGGCGAAGGCGGCUCACUGGCUCGGUACUGACGCUGAGGUGCGAAAGCGUGGGGAGCAAACAGG